GAAAACUCUCCCUUUUCUGCUUUUGCCUCUGUCCACUCAUCAAUAUCUUAUUCCUUCUUCACUACACUGCAAUUCUGCAAUUCCAGUCAUAGGAAGAAAAAGAAAAAUAAAGUAUCAAACAAGCGGCCAAUCUCUCUCAAACCAUGCACACACACACGUGAUUAGUUUCUCGUUCAAUGUAACACAAUGGAUCUUUAUCUUCUAUUUUAUUUUUUAAUUAAUUUUUUUGGUAUUUUUCUGCCUACCCAUGUCCAAAAUCACUGCUUUUCCCCCCUCUGUGGACCCACAAAGACCAGAAGAGCAAUCCUGACAGAAAGCUUGUUGCUUUGAUAAUGGCUUGGAAAAAUCAAACACUCCCCCUUUCCACCACUUGGCCAAACUUCUCGUCUACAGCUGCAGGCCAAUGAGAAAUUUGUUACACAGACUUGGUAACAAUGAUUCGUCUAUCUACGGUAACAGGUCAAGUUUUUGUUGGAUCUUGAGGUGAGAUUAUGUUGGGAUGCUUUCAUCUCACCAAGAAGGCAGAUGAAACAAAGAGAAGCAUACACAGAGGUCACAAUUGAUAACCUGGAAGUCGAGUGUGAUUUCAUUCCCUCCAAAUGCUUCCUGCCAAACCAGCUUCCACAUGUCGUCCACCGAAACAUGGUCCCAAUCAUGUGAAUUUGAUGCCACAAAAACCAUAGCCGCGUUCUAAGAUGCUAUCCAUCAGACCAAGCUAAGCCUGGCCGCGGGUCUGGUUUGAGCCGGUUCUGAUUUGAAUAAGGGGAGACUGAAACCGAGACCGGACCAGCUAAGAUCGGUUCUUAAUGGUUCUAGUCCUCAGAGUUCCGGUUCAGUCAAAGCUAACUGCAGUUCUGAUGUUAUAAGUUUGAAUUAUGUUCGAUUCCCAUUUUGAACCGG
rnacentral:misc_RNA from 1 species